rnacentral:rRNA from 1 species
CCUACGGGAGGCAGCAGUGGGGAAUUUUGGACAAUGGGCGCAAGCCUGAUCCAGCAAUGCCGCGUGAGUGAAGAAGGCCUUCGGGUUGUAAAGCUCUUUUGUCAGGGAAGAAACGGUUCGGGUUAAUACCUUGGGCUAAUGACGGUACCUGAAGAAUAAGCACCGGCUAACUACGUGCCAGCAGCCGCGGUAAUACGUAGGGUGCAAGCGUUAAUCGGAAUUACUGGGCGUAAAGCGUGCGCAGGCGGUUGUGCAAGACAGAUGUGAAAUCCCCGGGCUCAACCUGGGAAUUGCAUUUGUGACUGUACGGCUAGAGUGUGUCAGAGGGGGGUAGAAUUCCACGUGUAGCAGUGAAAUGCGUAGAGAUGUGGAGGAAUACCGAUGGCGAAGGCAGCCCCCUGGGAUAACACUGACGCUCAUGCACGAAAGCGUGGGGAGCAAACAGGAUUAGAUACCCUGGUAGUCCACGCCCUAAACGAUGUCUACUAGUUGUCGGGUCUUUAUUGACUUGGUAACGCAGCUAACGCGUGAAGUAGACCGCCUGGGGAGUACGGUCGCAAGAUUAAAACUUAAAUGAAAUUGACGG